rnacentral:rRNA from 1 species
UACGAAGGGUGCUAGCGUUACUCGGAAUUACUGGGCGUAAAGAGCGCGUAGGCGGUUUAGUAAGUUGGGAGUGAAAUCCCAGAGCUCAACUCUGGAAUUGCUUUCAAAACUACUAAGCUAGAGAUUGGUAGGGGACAGUGGAAUUCCUAGUGUAGAGGUGAAAUUCGUAGAUAUUAGGAGGAACACCGGUGGCGAAGGCGACUGUCUGGACCAAGUCUGACGCUGUGGCGCGAGAGCGUGGGGAGCAAACAGG